rnacentral:rRNA from 1 species
UACGGGGGGAGCAAGCGUUGUUCGGAUUUACUGGGCGUAAAGGGCGCGUAGGCGGCCACUGCAAGUCGGUUGUGAAAUCUCCGGGCUUAACCCGGAAAGGUCAAUCGAUACUGCAGGGCUAGAGUGCAGAAGGGGCAACUGGAAUUCUCGGUGUAGCGGUGAAAUGCGUAGAUAUCGAGAGGAACACCUGUGGCGAAGGCGGCAUCCUGGACCGGUAUUGACGCUGAGGCGCGAAAGCCAGGGGAGCAAACGGG